rnacentral:sRNA from 1 species
UAAAUCUACUGAGAGGAGCCUCCGUAGUUCGUUCUCAGAAGGACCGUCCUCUAACAUGAGAGCCGAAAAAUCACGAAUCGCUCCUGGUUCAUUAUUACCAUUAACGAUCAUACCAGAAGGCAAGGGGGAUAAAUUAAUGCAAAUAGCGAUCAUAGAACAGGGAGAAUGGGCGGAUACCCCGUCAAAGGAUAGAUCUAUGCUUUGAAAACAGGAGUCCAUUCACGUAUUGUGGAUUUUCAAUGGGGUGAGAUUACCAAAUAGAACAUGUUCAAGCGAGCCUAGAUCCGGCUCUUUACGGCAAUGGCAGAGACACAAUCCACCUUGUUGCAGGAGUGUUGAUAGUAUCAGGGACCUCGUGUUGGAACGGCAAGCAGCUAAUGCGCAGGCGACAAACCAAGGACCAAAAAGAAAUGAAGGCUGUCUGAAAGUAGUUAAGUUGCAAUUUAUAUUGUUAGUUACGAAUCUGCUCUAUGCAUUUCCCUCCGAAUCAACCUCGCAAGUCUCGCUGCCCCUUCAUCAAACUUCUCUUCUUCCUCCCACGCGAAGCACAACCUCACAAACCCCUCAAAAUCUUCCGGCUCCUUCUCUCCACCACCAUCACCAUUGCCGUCUCCAGGACCCUCGCGAACAACUUUAAACAAACUUCCACUGGCAAUAAUCAAAUUCUCUUCCUCCUGCGCCUUCUUCGCUAGGUCGCUAGCUCUCAGGCCGGGUGGGAAGCGAAGCCAAAGGAAGUAACCGCCUGCAAUAGCACCCUUACCGUUGGCACAAGCGCCGAUCGUGCUGCCAUUUCUCACGGCGUCAGUGGAAGUUUCAUUUGCUGGACCAGUUGGCAACGACACGCCGAGAGGGACGAGGUGUUUUUGCACGGCUGUCGUGAGGGUGUGGUAGCGUUUUGAAUACGCAGGUUGCAGGAUGGUUCUGAUAUGCGUUUUCAGUGCGUUUGAAGCCAGUAGCUCGCGGAUGAAAGUCGAUGUGAACUGCGAGGGACAGCCACCCGAACGCGAGGAGCCACUGUUCCGUGCAUAAAUACAUAUGCCAUGGUUAGCUAGGCUUGUCUCGGAAUAAUAUAUUUUGCUAACUCUUUACAAACGAAUUCUUUAAUGUAUGAACUGUGGAUGUUCAUGUGCAGCACAUACACCUGUGACAGACCAUAGACAAGUUUUUCAGCCCCUUCCGCCCAGCCAACGCGACAUCCAGGGCCGAUGAGUUUGCUAAAACUGCCAUUGCUAACGGCAUUCCCGAACUCUCCCGAUGGCCCGCCAUCGAGAUAUCGAUCAACAUCGACGAUACGAGAAACAACGGCUUUGUGUGGAUAUUUUUCAUUAGCCGAUACGGAUGGAAAAGCAGGCCAUUGAAGAUGAUCGUAUACGUCGUCGGAGAUGAUUAGGGCGUCGUAUUUUCUCGCAAGCCGGACAAGCUCUUCCCGACGCCGCAGACUCAUUAUCUUCGUCGAAGGGUUUGAAAAUGUAGGGGUUGUGUAGAUGAUAUGCCUAUACAGCUUUCGCCAAGGACGGGCAGGUUUGAAGGCGCAUCUCUGUAAUUCUCAAUGGAAGAAUGCAGAAUGAGCAAGGGCAUCACACUAGGGACGCAAAUGACUCUGAGGUUAAGAAAGAAGAGCAGCGCUCUUAGAAGCUCCGGGCAGAGCAUACCGGUUCAAGAUAUUCCUCCCCCUGGUUUCGAUUCCAGUCGCCCACCCGCUUCCAUUCAGCUCUUGCUCGUUCCUCACUCCUCUCCAAGCCCCUCUCCAGUUCCGCUACAUCCAAUCCCUCCUCAUCUUCCCUCACGCCCC